CACUCCUACGGGAGGCAGCAGUGGGGAAUUUUACGCAAUGGGGGAAACCCUGACGUAGCGACACCGCGUGAGCGAAGAAGCCCUUUGGGGUGUAAAGCUCUGUCAGCUGGAACGAAAACAAUGACGGUACCAGCAGAGGAAGCAUCGGCUAACUACGUGCCAGCAGCCGCGGUAAGACGUAGGAUGCGAGCGUUGUCCGGAUUUAUUGGGCGUAAAGAGUUCGUAGGUGGUUUGUUAAGUUUGGUGUUAAAGAUCGGGGCUCAACCCUGGGACUGCACUGAAUACUGGCAGACUCGAGUGUGGAAGAGGCUAGUGGAAUUCCCAGUGUAGCGGUGAAAUGCGUAGAUAUUGGGAGGAACACCGGUGGCGUAGGCGACUAGCUGGGCCAUAACUGACGCUGAGGAACGAAAGCCAGGGGAGCGAAUGGGAUUAGAUACCCCAGUAGUCCCA
rnacentral:rRNA from 1 species